rnacentral:rRNA from 2 species
AAAUUGAAGAGUUUGAUCAUGGCUCAGAUUGAACGCUGGCGGCAGGCCUAACACAUGCAAGUCGAACGGUAACAGGAAGCAGCUUGCUGCUUCGCUGACGAGUGGCGGACGGGUGAGUAAUGUCUGGGAAACUGCCUGAUGGAGGGGGAUAACUACUGGAAACGGUGGCUAAUACCGCAUAACGUCGCAAGACCAAAGAGGGGGACCUUCGGGCCUCUUGCCAUCAGAUGUGCCCAGAUGGGAUUAGCUUGUUGGUGAGGUAACGGCUCACCAAGGCGACGAUCCCUAGCUGGUCUGAGAGGAUGACCAGCCACACUGGAACUGAGACACGGUCCAGACUCCUACGGGAGGCAGCAGUGGGGAAUAUUGCACAAUGGGCGCAAGCCUGAUGCAGCCAUGCCGCGUGUAUGAAGAAGGCCUUCGGGUUGUAAAGUACUUUCAGCGGGGAGGAAGGUGUUGUGGUUAAUAACUGCAGC